rnacentral:rRNA from 1 species
ACACAUGCAAGUCGAGCGGUAGCACAGAGAGCUUGCUCUCGGGUGACGAGCGGCGGACGGGUGAGUAAUGUCUGGGAAACUGCCUGAUGGAGGGGGAUAACUACUGGAAACGGUAGCUAAUACCGCAUAACGUCGCAAGACCAAAGUGGGGGACCUUCGGGCCUCAUGCCAUCAGAUGUGCCCAGAUGGGAUUAGCUAGUAGGUGGGGUAACGGCUCACCUAGGCGACGAUCCCUAGCUGGUCUGAGAGGAUGACCAGCCACACUGGAACUGAGACACGGUCCAGACUCCUACGGGAGGCAGCAGUGGGGAAUAUUGCACAAUGGGCGCAAGCCUGAUGCAGCCAUGCCGCGUGUGUGAAGAAGGCCUUCGGGUUGUAAAGCACUUUCAGCGGGGAGGAAGGCGAUAAGGUUAAUAACCUUGUCGAUUGACGUUACCCGCAGAAGAAGCACCGGCUAACUCCGUGCCAGCAGCCGCGGUAAUACGGAGGGUGCAAGCGUUAAUCGGAAUUACUGGGCGUAAAGCGCACGCAGGCGGUCUGUCAAGUCGGAUGUGAAAUCCCCGGGCUCAACCUGGGAACUGCAUUCGAAACUGGCAGGCUAGAGUCUUGUAGAGGGGGGUAGAAUUCCAGGUGUAGCGGUGAAAUGCGUAGAGAUCUGGAGGAAUACCGGUGGCGAAGGCGGCCCCCUGGACAAAGACUGACGCUCAGGUGCGAAAGCGUGGGGAGCAAACAGGAUUAGAUACCCUGGUAGUCCACGCCGUAAACGAUGUCGAUUUGGAGGUUGUGCCCUUGAGGCGUGGCUUCCGGAGCUAACGCGUUAAAUCGACCGCCUGGGGAGUACGGCCGCAAGGUUAAAACUCAAAUGAAUUGACGGGGGCCCGCACAAGCGGUGGAGCAUGUGGUUUAAUUCGAUGCAACGCGAAGAACCUUACCUGGUCUUGACAUCCACAGAACUUGCCAGAGAUGGCUUGGUGCCUUCGGGAACUGUGAGACAGGUGCUGCAUGGCUGUCGUCAGCUCGUGUUGUGAAAUGUUGGGUUAAGUCCCGCAACGAGCGCAACCCUUAUCCUUUGUUGCCAGCGGUUAGGCCGGGAACUCAAAGGAGACUGCCAGUGAUAAACUGGAGGAAGGUGGGGG